GACGAACGCUGGCGGCGUGCCUAAUACAUGCAAGUCGAGCGAAGUUUUUCUGGUGCUUGCACUAGAAAAACUUAGCGGCGAACGGGUGAGUAACACGUAAAGAACCUGCCUCAUAGACUGGGACAACUAUUGGAAACGAUAGCUAAUACCGGAUAACAGUAUUUCUCGCAUGAGAGAUAUUUAAAAGUUGGUUAUGCUAACACUAUGAGAUGGCUUUGCGGUGCAUUAGCUAGUUGGUGGGGUAAAGGCCCACCAAGGCGACGAUGCAUAGCCGACCUGAGAGGGUGAUCGGCCACACUGGGACUGAGACACGGGCCAGACUCCUACGGGAGGCAGCAGUAGGGAAUCUUCCGCAAUGGGCGAAAGCCUGACGGAGCAACGCCGCGUGAGUGAAGAAGGAUUUCGGUUCGUAAAGCUCUGUUGUUAGGGAAGAAUGGAUAUGUAGUAACUAUACAUGUAAGAGACGGUACCUAACCAGAAAGCCACGGCUAACUACGUG
rnacentral:rRNA from 1 species